ensembl:lncRNA
CGGGGCCAGGCUGCCUCGCUAAACGAUGCACACCUGUAACUCACGUGACCCUGAUUAUGAUUGAAAUGAGAACGAGGGCGUCGUGCCUUUAUAAGACUGCGUUAAUGUUUCCGUGGAGUUAUCCCUUCCGUUGUUGUUUAUUGAUUGUUAAACAUGGCUUCAUUUGCAAAGGUGGUUGUGUGUCUCCUCAUUGCUUGUGUCUGUAAUGCAUUCUGUUUUCCGAAGAGAGAUGUGAACUUUAAGGCCUCUGCAGUUGACCGACAAAGUGAUGAUGUGGUUGUCACCACAACACCAGUUCCCCACAACCAGACCACAUCUGUCAAUACUGAAGCUGGUGGUGCAAGUGAAGAUGCUGUGGCUACUACCCCAGCACCUAAUCCACACAACCAGACAACUCCUGCACAAACUGAAGUUACUGAUGGAGCCAGUGAAGAUGCUGUGGACCGCCAAAGUGAUGAUGUGGUUGUCGCCACAACACCCGAUCCCCACAACCAGACCACAUCUGUCAAUACUGAAGCUGGUGAUGGAGCAAGUGAAGAUGCUGUGGCUACCACCCCAACACCAAAUCCUCCAACUACAUCUGACCACACUGCAGCUACCGAUGAUUCAAGUGAGGGUGCUGUGGCUGCCCAAACUGGAACUACUGUAUCCCAUACGACUGAAGUCUGAUUCAACUGCUCCUCUGGUCACAAUGACCUGAGUCACUGUCUGGACUUUUUGCCUCUACAUGUUGACUGCAAUAAAGGACAGAUUUGUUUUUUUAAUCA